rnacentral:rRNA from 1 species
CAUCACUACGCUAGAUGCAUAUCAAUAAGCGGAGGAAAAGAAACUAACAAGGAUUCCCCUAGUACGGCGAGUGAAGCGGGAAGAGCUCAAAUUUGAAAUCUUAAAGGUUUUCCCUUGACGAAUUGUAGUUUAAAGAAGUGUUUUCUGUUGGAGUUUCGGUAAAAGUUCUUUGGAAUAGGACAUCAUAGAGGGUGAGAAUCCCGUAUUUGACCAUUACUUUCCAGCUGUGUGAUACACUUUCAAAGAGUCGGAUUGUUUGGGAAUGCAGUCCAAAAUGGGUGGUAAAUUUCAUCUAAAGCUAAAUAUUGGCGAAAGACCGAUAGCGAACAAGUACCGUGAGGGAAAGAUGAAAAGAACUUUGAAAAGAGAGUUAAACAGUACGUGAAAUUGUCAAAAGGGAAGCGUUUGACACCAGUGUUGUUUUCUCGAAAAUCAAUUAACGAAGGGUUUAUUUUGAUAGUUAUGACUUCAAUCGCUUUCUUCAUCUCUUUAUGUACUUUCUUAAUGCACUUUUCGUUAACAAGUCAACAUCAGUUUCUUUUGUUGUAAAAGGGUAUGAGGAAGGUGGCUUUCUUUUCGGAGAAAGUGUUUAUAGCCUUGUAUCCUCUGCAAUCGGAGAGAUUGAGGUCUGCAGCGUAGAUCCUUCGGGGUUAGAUACAUUUGUGCUAAGUUAUAGCUUGUCAUAGACAACUUGUUGACUAUGUUUAGUCAUUGUAGCUUACUCGCUUAGUGCUAUUUUACCUACGCUUAGGAUGUUGACGAGACUGUCGAUCUC